GAGAGCUACGCGGCGGCGCAGCACAGGCCUCGUGCGGUAACGGCAUCCGGGCAGCCGCGGUGGCGUCCCGGUGCGGUCCUCAGGUGACUGGAGCCGAGGGCUCGGCGGAGGGAAGGUGAGACGGCCUCGCUCGCGUGCGGACACACGCACAGUCCUUUCGGUCUCCCGGUCGGUCCGCUCUGCCUGCUAGUCUCUAGUCGCUUCCUCUUUCCCCGGCGAAGUUGGCCCGGGGGCGCCGUCUGCUGGCGGCGGAGCGGAGCGGAGGGGGCGGGGAGGCCGCUCGGCGGAGCUCGGGUGUCCGCGGUGCAGCCCGGUGACCCCGCGGCCUCUGGCCUGAGCUGCGAGCGCCGGUCGGGGAGGCGGGCAGGCAAGUGUGCGGCGCGCUGCCUCGGCGGUUCUCCGCAGAAAGCCCUGUCGGCGGUCUGUGUCGGUGUCCGAGGCCGGGACGGUAGGCUGGCAGGAAGGGCGCUCUCACCUCCAGCCGCCAGCCUGAGGAAGCCGAGAGGGGGGACAUCCUCGGGGCGCGCCCUCCCCUCCCCCUCCCGUUCCGGAGCAGGAGAGAUGUGGGUGUCCGGGGGCUGUUGAGGUGGGGUUGGUCCAGGAAAAGCAGUCCUCUGGGUUGGUUUCGUACUGUUGUCGUACGGGUUUCCGUGCUAGGUCGGUUCAGUGUUAACAGCUGGGUUGGAAGGAAGCUGGUUUUUUGUUCAGGGUUGAGGACCGUAACAUGACCGGUUAACGUCGAGCCGAGCUGAAGUCACCCGAAGAAAAAUACUGCCCUUAGUUAGGAAAGAAUUCACAGGAGUUAGGAAAGAACGAGAUGAAGAAAACUUCCUGACCCCAUCUUGGGUGGGGAGCAGUGAGAAUCCAGGGUUCGGCCAAAAAAACGGGUCAAGUUUUGCAAGAAGCGUUCCAUUUUCAAAAGCUUUGGUAGCUUGAUGAUGAUCAAUCAGCCUUAACGGUUUCUUAAGCACCUGGAAAUCAAUUGUGUGCUUUCAGCCUUUAGCGACGUCACAACAUGAACAGAGAAAUAGUCCAAGGAGAAAGUUUUGAUUGAUCAUUUUCAGUCUUGUUUUUAAAUAGAUAUUCUCUUCACAUCGUGAUAGUUAAGUCAAAGCGUAUGCGUUGGUUGAUUAGUACUUUUUUUUCAUCGUGGCCACAUGUGGUGCUUUCUCUGGGAAAACUUCUGUAGGAAUUGGCUAGAGUAACUAAAGCGUACAUUGUGUUGAUGUCUCCGCUGUAUGUAUGAGCAUUAUGUUUGAAAAGAUUUGCCUCCCCAGCAAGCAUUUUAAAUUGUUUAGGUUUCCAAGCCCAACAGAUCCGUGUAUUAAUAAGUCGACACGUUAAUGUAUUGCCUUAUUAAACAUUGAGUGAUAGUUUAUGCUGCUGAUUUUCUAAUUUGAGAACUUCGUUCUAGAGUUCAAGGCUUGUUGUGAUUAUUAUUGUAAAUAAAUUCCUUCUCAGGAGAACUUGAAAAAAAAUGAAUUAACUCUGGCAAUGUGGAAGAAUGGAUGCUUUCAAUGCCAGAAAAUCAAAUGAUUAUUUCACUGUUAAGUAAAAUUGGAGGAAACGUGAACUGAGCAUUUAACAAAUCCAACAGUUUGACGACAAUUUGACAGGCCUGCCUGAUUCUCACUUUAACCUAUCAAGGAAAUAGAACUUCAAAGUCUUCCCUUCACAACUGAUGCCCCACGCCUCCAAGCUGUCUUUCAUUAGCGAUACAUUAGUAGCAUGCUUUCAGGAACCCAGACAUAAACCUUAACAUUGUACUGUUUUUUUGUAGUUGUUUUCUUU
rnacentral:lncRNA from 1 species